UGGAGGUUCCGGUGCACUCAAACCCCCGGAGGUAAACGGAAGAGGUUUGAAUAAUUUGUUA
rnacentral:tRNA from 1 species